ACGAGCAUGCUGGAGUUUGUUGCAAAGCUCAAGGCUGCUUAAUUAAUUACAAUGCAUCUAAAGAUAGUACAAGUACUAUAGUACUACAAGCUCGUAGUACAAAAUAAAAGCGUGCAUGCAUGCAGGCUGAGUCGUUGGGUCUUGAUGAGUGGGUGCACGUUCGUGUGUCGUGUCUGUAUACUCCGUGUCACGUGAAGUUGGUUGAUUCUCACUCCCUUUGUUCGAAAACAAAUCAAUCUACUACGACAUAUAAUAAACCAACAUUGGCUGCCAUGGAUAUAUGGAUGAAGUUAGAGCUUAUUAUACC
rnacentral:sRNA from 1 species